UAGGGAAUCUUCGGCAAUGGGGGCAACCCUGACCGAGCAACGCCGCGUGAGUGAAGAAGGUUUUCGGAUCGUAAAGCUCUGUUGUAAGUCAAGAACGGGUGUGAGAGUGGAAAGUUCACACUGUGACGGUAGCUUACCAGAAAGGGACGGCUAACUACGUGCCAGCAGCCGCGGUAAUACGUAGGUCCCGAGCGUUGUCCGGAUUUAUUGGGCGUAAAGCGAGCGCAGGCGGUUUGAUAAGUCUGAAGUUAAAGGCUGUGGCUCAACCAUAGUUCGCUUUGGAAACUGUCAAACUUGAGUGCAGAAGGGGAGAGUGGAAUUCCAUGUGUAGCGGUGAAAUGCGUAGAUAUAUGGAGGAACACCGGUGGCGAAAGCGGCUCUCUGGUCUGUAACUGACGCUGAGGCUCGAAAGCGUGGGGAGCGAACAGGAUUAGAUACCCUGGUAGUCCACGCCGUAAACGAUGAGUGCUAGGUGUUGGAUCCUUUCCGGGAUUCAGUGCCGAAGCUAACGCAUUAAGCACUCCGCCUGGGGGAGUACGACCGCAAGGUUGAAAC
rnacentral:rRNA from 1 species